rnacentral:rRNA from 1 species
GAUGAACGCUAGCGGCAGGCCUAAUACAUGCAAGUCGAACGAUAGUGAGAAGCUUGCUUCUCACGAAAGUGGCGCACGGGUGCGUAACGCGUAUGCAACCUACCUUAAUCAGGGGGAUAGCCCGAAGAAAUUCGGAUUAACACCGCAUAAAAUCACAGUAUAGCAUUAUACAAUGAUCAAAUAUUUAUAGGAUUAAGAUGGGCAUGCGUGACAUUAGUUAGUUGGCGGGGUAACGGCCCACCAAGACCACGAUGUCUAGGGGAUCUGAGAGGAUGACCCCCCACACUGGUACUGAGACACGGACCAGACUCCUACGGGAGGCAGCAGUAAGGAAUAUUGGUCAAUGGAGGCAACUCUGAACCAGCCAUGCCGCGUGCAGGAAGACAGCCCUCUGGGUCGUAAACUGCUUUUAUUCGGGAAUAAACCUAUCUACGUGUAGAUAGCUGAAUGUACCGAAGGAAUAAGGAUCGGCUAACUCCGUGCCAGCAGCCGCCGCGG